AUGCCACUUACUGGUAAAUGGCCACUGGGAUCAACAGGAUCCAGUCCCUUGUUGAUUGAGAAUAAUGAUGAUGAUGAUGAUGAUGAUGAUGAUAAUAAUAAUAAUUUGCCAUCCCAGGGGACAGUCGCAUUGAUGAAAAACAACAGGAAAAACCCAGCCGCUAUCAGGACCUCAAGAUUGAACUUCAAAGACUCUGGCAGAAACCAGUGCAGGUGGUCCCGGUGGUGAUGGGCACAUUGGGUGCCGUGUCAAAAGAUCUCAGCCGGCAUUUGGAAACAAUAGACAUUGAUAAAAUUACGACCUGCCAACUAUAAAAGGCCACCUUACUGGGAUCUGCGCACAUCAUCCGAAAAUACAUCACACAGUCCUAGACACUUGGGAAGUGUUCGACUUGUGAUUUUGUGAAACGAAACCCAGCAUAUCUAUCUUGUUUGCUGUGUCAUACAACGUCGUUGUGUCAAUAAUAAUAAUAAUAAUAAUUUUAUUUCUUACCCGCCUCUCCCCACUUGCAGAAACAUAGGGAAAUAUUCUGGACUCAAGUCUAAACAUGAGAUUGAUAUAUGUUUCAUAUCCUCGUACACAUAACCAGAAGGCAAUGUUACACAGAAUAUUUGAAAUAAUUUGAAAUAAUUUUGUGCCUAAGAAAACAAAGAGGUAACUAUCUCGAUCAUCCAUGUGGACCAUUUUGGAUUUUGGAGUAUUUUGAAUUUCAGAAUUCCAGAUAAGAAAUAUUCAACCUGUUUAACACUUUUAUAGAUGAUGCCAUUUUUUUCCUAAAUCAAAGAAUCUGUGCUAUUCUUUGUUCUAAGAGUAUAUAGAGGAGCAUAAAUGCUAAUUAAUACUUCAACAUUGUCAAAUUAAGUGAGGCAUCUAUGCCUAAGCUUUCUUCUUCCCCACCACAUCCAGUCAGCUUAAAGCACAUGCAGAUCUUCCCUCAGAAAUUUAUUUGAAGUCUCUUUUAUUUAUUUUUUAGAGAUAGGAUUUAUGUAGCUAAUGAAAGGAAAGCAUUUGACUAAUUAAUUUUCUCUUGUUUUCAGAAAGCUUGCUAUUAGCGUUUAUACAAAUUAGAAUAGAAAGCAUUGCAUUAAGAAACUGAAGUACAAUUUUGUUCACAGCCCUAAAGCCACGGGAAUGGUUUCUUAAAUUGUAUAUGCUCAGCCUUUUGUUAAAACCCACAGUGUCUCUUUUAAAACUUGUUCAGUCCCUGAAUUCUUUGCAGUGAGUCACUGAAUAGAUUAUUUUUUUCAGGGACUGGAAAAUAGUAUUAGAAAUUGCUUUUAAGUGUUAUUGUCAAGAUACACCUGCUCACUCUGAGGCAAAAUGUCAGAAAAUAAUGAAGUAACAUUAUACAUAUCGAGGCUGCAAGGCACAAAAUGAGAUUCUGAUCAAAGAUUUCUGAAGGAUGAAACUUACAAACAAUUGAAUUUUUGGCACUGAAAGGUGAACAGCUUAUUGUGGGAAUCCUUGAUAGAGUGGAAGAUUUUUUGUUUAUUAUAUGCAUAUCGCACCUUUCCACUAAAAAUAGUGCUCAGGCAUUUAUUCAGUUAUUAGGCUUUUAGAUUACUACACCUUGAUACAGAGAUAAUUUCACAGAAUCACAGAAGCUUAGUUUUGAAAGGAAGCAUAAGAACAAUCUAGCCCCGAUCUAGACUGCCAUAUAAUACAGUUUCAUAAUCCAGUUUAACUGCAUUGAACUUCAUUAUAUGGCAGUAUAGACUGGGCUUGUGCAAUCCAGGUAAUCUACAAUCUGUGUCAUGUCCUGGCUUUCGGUGGAGGCCCUGAUCUAUGUUUUGGGAGCCUCCUGAAUUCAGGAGGGCAGAUAUCGGUUUUUGCUCAGGGGGAGGGGAGGGGGCAAAGGUUCAAUGUUCUAUCUGGAAAGACGUGUGAGCUUUAAGGAGGCUUCUUGUUCUUAAAGCUAUUUUUCUACUCUAGAAGAGAGGCACUCAACUGCAGGCAGGUGCGCACACUUUCAGGAAGCUUCUUGUUAUUACAGCUGUUUUUACACUCUAGAGGAUAGAUGCUCAGCUGCAGGCAGGCGUGCAUGCUUCAAGGAGGUUUCUUGUUUCUACUCUACAGAAGUGCUUGGCUGCAGGCAGGCUUCUUGUUUAAAGCUUUUUUCUACUUUAGAGGAGAGGCACUUGACUGCAGGCAGAUGUGCACUUUAAGGAGGCUUCUUACCUGUUUCUACUCUAGAGGAGAGGUGCUCAACUGCAGGCAAGUGCACACACUUUAAGGAGGCUUCUUGCUCUUAAAGCUGUUUCUAUGAGCUGCAGGCAGGUGUGCACAUGCUUUCUCUUCCAGGCCUGCACCACGCCAGCCACACACUCUUUCCAAGGCAUUUUAAGGAGGCUUCCCACUUCUAGAGAAGAUGUGCUUGGCUGCAGGCAGGCACGUGCACUUUAAGGAGGUUCUUGUUUAAAGCUUUUUUCUACUCUAGAAGUGAGGCGCUCGACUGCAGGCAGGUGCACGCACUUUAAGGAGGCUUCUUGUUCUUAAAGCUGUUUUUCUACUCUAUAGGAGAGGUGCUUGGCUGCAGGCAGGCAGGCAUGCACGCUUUAAGGAGGCUUCUUGUUCUUAAAGCUGUUUCUAGGUGUUGCAGGCAGGUGUGCACACACUUUCUCUUCCAGGCUGCACCACGCCAGCCACACACUCUUUCCAAGGCAUUUUAAGGAGUGUUCCCACUUCCAGGUAAGGAAGAGCGAUGAUCUUCAGGGAAUGGGGGUUUUCUUUUUGCUUGCUGGGGGAUUACUGAAAAAAAUUGAACUGUGAUGCCAAAUAGGGGAGGAGGAACCAAGACUGGCUGCCAGGUAGUCCCAUUAUGGAGUGGAAUCCAUAAUAGCUGGGCCCUUGCCAUUUCAUGGAACCAAAGGAGCCGGAUUUACCGAAGGAAACAGCUAAAAACAGAUCCACUCACAACUCUAGUAUAGAUGGGUUGAUGAUCUAACAUCCUGCCAGGGAGGAAUACAAAGUACAGCACUUUUGAAAGAUGUCUCUCCAAUCUCUAUUUAAAGACCUCUGGAGAAGGAGAGCCCACCUCCUUCUGAGGGCUUGUCUACACUGAUGAGUAAAAUUUUGUUUAGCACUGCAUUUUCCCAAUCUGCAUUGACUCUGUACCAAUCUUGUUAACACCACACAGAUCACACACAUCAUGUUCACACACUUACUUCUGGUAUCUCCCCUCAAUUUAAGGGAGUAUUUCAUUUCCAGGCACAUGGUAUGGAUGCCCAAUAUUUUUAAGCAGAAUCCUGACAUAUUGAUAUGCAAGUAUUCACAAACACAAAACUUAAACAAAUUACAUAAUUCAACUCAAGAAAGAACAUCUUCAUAGUGGAAAUGCUCACCUCUCACUAACAGUUUUGUCCACCACUAACUUGAUUCCCCAACUCUAUAAUGAAGCGAUGCCACUCAGAAAAAUGCUUAAAAGUCAGAUUUUCUGUAAAACCAUUGAGUAAAAGGCAAGUUUUUUUUUGUAAUGUGUUAAAGUACAAUAAAACAUAUAGUAAACAAAUCAUCAUGGAUAUUGUGUGUCAAACUCAGAGUGCUGUCGAGUUGACUACACUUUUUAAAAUCUGUGUAGAAGAGACCUGAGGUUGUAUUGUCCACUGCCAUACCCAUAGUAAAGUGCUUCCUAAUGUUUGGGUGGAAUCUUUUUUUUACAAAAUUGAACCCACUGGAGCACCAGAAAACAAUCUGACUUCAUCAUUUAAAUGAUGUCCCUUUAGGUAUUUAAAGAUGGCUAUUGUGUCACUUUUAAGUUUCUCUUCUCCAAGGUAAAGAUACCCAGCUAACUUAGGACUUCACCCCAUUUUGGGGUGGAGGGAAUAGUCGUCUUAUGGGAGCAUUUCAUGCCUUUCCAUUAAAAAAAAUACUGAUAAUUUAUACACCUCCAUCACGCGUGAUGCACUCCAUCUAGUUCUAAACAAAUCCUCUAUUUGCUGAGCUAUCACACGUGUAGUCUCUGCUCAUACUCCUUUAAAAAAUAACUAAAGGGAAACUUCACAAUUGCAGGAAUCCAAAAUCAAAAUUAAAGUCCUAUGAAAUGCCCUGCCAGACUCACCAGGCAGGGUGGUUGUAGUGGUGAGGGCACCCUCUGCCCACCAUGUUGGCCGGGGCUCCUUCCUCUCAGGGAGCCCUGCAUCUUCUUGUGCUUCAGAGCAUUGUUUAAUGGCUCACUCUGAUUGGAUAGUACAGGUGGACCUGAGGUAAAACCUUGUCCCUGUGGUCUGCCAACUGGGAAUAAAUUCCGGCAUGGCUGCUCCUCUAGUUCAGUUGUCACCCUACAAAAUACUGGUUACUGCUUCUGUGUCUUUAACUAUUUCUGCAUGAAUUGGGAGCUCUGAAGACAAUUGCUCCCUGACUCCAAAAAUCUGUUUCUAUACACUUUAAAAAUAUUUAAAAGAUGGAGUCACACAUGGAACCGCUGGAAGUACUUGUGUCACUUGAUGGGCUUCUUGGGACUCCAUCUUUAAAAUGUUUUAAAGUGUGUAGAAAUGGGGGGAAUCCUGUGUCUGAUUAGGUCCUUAGCAGUUCCUCAGAUACGCAUGUGUGAAUCAAGUCCUGAUUCACGUAGGACGAUAAUGAUUAUAUUAGAUCACAUUUGUGUAUCUACUUUCACAGCAGUACACCUCUUUGACUUUAAUGGGGCUUCAUGUUUGAGCAGCAAUCCAUAGGAUUAUGUUAACA
ensembl:lncRNA